rnacentral:rRNA from 1 species
UACGAAGGGGGCUAGCGUUGUUCGGAAUUACUGGGCGUAAAGCGUGCGCAGGCGGCUUCUCAAGUCAGGGGUGAAAGCCCAGAGCUCAACUCUGGAAUUGCCUUUGAGACUGAGUGGCUUGAGUACGAGAGAGGUGAGUGGAAUUCCCAGUGUAGAGGUGAAAUUCGUAGAUAUUGGGAAGAACACCGGUGGCGAAGGCGGCCAUCUGGACCGUAUCUGACGCUGAGGCGCGAAAGCGUGGGGAGCAAACAGG